rnacentral:rRNA from 1 species
CAGUAGCCGCGGUAAUACGAAGGGUGCAAGCGUUAAUCGGAAUUACUGGGCGUAAAGCGUGCGUAGGCGGUGAGUUAAGUCUGCUGUGAAAUCCCGGGCUCAACCUGGGAAUGGCAGUGGAUACUGGCUCGCUAGAGUGUGUCAGAGGAUGGUGGAAUUCCCGGUGUAGCGGUGAAAUGCGUAGAGAUCGGGAGGAACAUCAGUGGCGAAGGCGGCCAUCUGGGACAACACUGACGCUGAGGCACGAAAGCGUGGGGAGCAAACAGGAUUAGAUACCCGAGUAGUCCCUGUCUCUUAUACA